rnacentral:rRNA from 1 species
CAGCAGCCACGGGAAUACGAAGGGGGCUAGCGUUGUUCGGAUUUACUGGGCGUAAAGGGCGCGUAGGCGGACUGAUAAGUCAGGGGUGAAAUCCCAAGGCUCAACCUUGGAACUGCCUUUGAUACUGUUUGUCUUGAGUUCGAGAGAGGUAAGUGGAACUGCGAGUGUAGAGGUGAAAUUCGUAGAUAUUCGCAAGAACACCAGUGGCGAAGGCGGCUUACUGGCUCGAAACUGACGCUGAGGCGCGAAAGCGUGGGGAGCAAACAGGAUUAGAUACCCCAGUAGUCCCUGUCUCUUAUAA